rnacentral:misc_RNA from 1 species
UCUUAGAUGGAAUGAUUGAGAUACAACGGUAUCAGAUAGAACGAUGCAGUUGUCAAUGUAUAUAUGUCUGUUCUAUGUGAUUGUGACGAUCGGUCAAACAAACGUCAUCACCGGACAAGGCGAGGACCGCUCACGUCUGGAUUUAGAGGCAAGAGUGAUCGCUCUUGAGAAUGCGCUUUCGACAUUGAAAACGGAACUGGAUGCUAAAGUAGCCUCGUUAAAAUGCGAUUGUUCGAGUGUUGGCUCUGGAUUGGGGACACCUACUCUUACUCAUCAAACCGGGAAAAGAUUGUUAGUUCCUGCAACACCAAACAAGGAAAAGCCAGCAUUUUACAGCUUCCUAAGCUCGGACGAACUAGCCUCGACCAAGCAUCACAGGUCCACUUUGACGUCGUUAAAACUAACGUCGGCAAUAACUACCACCCGAACAGUGGAACCUUCAUCGCCCCAAGCGCUGGAACCUACGCGUUUGAUUGGAUGAUACAGAGCACGUGGACAGGCGUAGUCUACACGCAGUUGAUAAGGAAUUCUGAGGUCCUUGGGGAGGUGGUGGCAGACAGUAGCCAUGAAUACGAGUUCCACAGCGCCACCGGGGUGGUGGUCGUUCAGUUGAGUGAGGGGGACGAAGUGUUCAUCAGAACCCACCCCACGGACGCGUCUACAGGACACAUCAUCAGUAGGCCGGGGUAUAGGUCCUCCUUCAGCGGGUGGAGAAUCUGAACUCAUGCUGCAGAGGCUUUGUCAGUCAUUGAGAAAGACGGACACAGAAGACUGUGAACAAUUGUUAAAAACGUAAACAAAAAAAAUAAGGACAUUGGUAUGUUUGAAAUAAACUAAAGCAUUG